UGUGUCAUGCUUAUCCGCAUCCAUGCAUGACGAGUCGGAAAUCACGACCUCUACCAUGACGUUGACAUGCACAUUAUUAUAAAACAGUUUCAGAUGACGGAGACGUUAGAAGGCCCUUGGAUCCGUCAAGUCAACACGAGCGACAGAUACUUGUCGGUACAGUAAACAGCCGAAACAUAUCCCUGGCUUCCAGUUUUCACGUUCCCUCCUUCUAGACAACUGUUCGCAAUGCUGCUGGUGAUGAUGAUGUUGCUGACGGUUGUGCAAACAAGGGUAAUCUUUCUCCACAAAGAAACAAGCCAAGAUGCAGUACCACAUUACCUAAGAGGGACGCCGAACCCGCCAGAUCGUGUUGUAUCUAGAGGCGAAGCUGGCUCCCUGCGGUAUCUUGGGACACCAUGGCCCCAUGGGAGGAAACGCACAGACGCCAUAUUCGACCCUAACUGUGACCCAACAGAAAGGAACGUCAAACUGUUAACAAAUAGUGGACGCGUUAAUAUAGAUAUCUCACUUAGUCCUGGUCAAGCUUCACAAAAUGUCCCUGGCCAACAAAAGAGUAGUAAACACAUUGUAAAAAGACCUGGUGUUAUAUGGAGUAAAAACGUCGAUGUCGAUGGACGUGCUUUGAAAGAUACCUUAAACGACCAGAUUGUACAAACUCCAUCAGAUGGCAGAAAGGGUGGUAAAGCUUUUGAAAGGACACCCGGUGUCACAUGGAAUACAAAAGAUGAUGGACGUGUUGGCAAACAUAACUCAAUUCCUGUCAGUGCUGGGUCAGAUUUAUGGACACCGGGUGUCAACUUUGAAAAGAGGAGGGGUAGCCAUGACGUUGGAAGGAGGCCGGGUGUUCCUUGGAGUAGAACAGUGGAUGGUGGAAGGUUCCCUAGUUCGACAGUGAAUCGUGCAAUGGGUGCAAAACAAUUUGAUGUUGACAUAAAUCCAAUGAUGGAUUUUAUUGGAACUGUAGUCCCUUUUUACAGGCCUAGGACAGGACCUGGGGCUCCGACACCAUUACGAAUUCUAUCUCACAUUCAUCAUUCUCAUGGUCAAUGGCCAGAACACAGCCAUGUCCUCAGACACUUUAGUUUCUUACGCGGGUCAGGGAGACACACUCAAACAAGUAACCCUUCCCCGUUCAUUGUGCAACGUUUGCUGGUGACACCCAAACCAAUACGUGGUGUGUUACCUCGUCUGUUAGGACCAGUCCCAGCAUGCAACCCUUCCAACUAGUACACCUACGGUAUCGAUAACCAACAGACAGUUUGUGCCUGACAUCAGAGCCAUGUCAGGUCAUACUCCUACAGUCUUAGGAGACGGUACCAACAAAAGUAGAAACAGAAAAAUCAAUAGAAUAAACCAAUCGUUAGGUUCUAUGGAAAUUGAGAAUAUAAACAGGGUCUCGUCUACUUCUAGCACUGUCACGCCGUUUAAAAUAGCCACUGCUAUAUCCCUUGAGGUCAGUACUGCCAAACCCUUUGAAAUGAGAACCGCCACACCACUUGAAGAAGGUACUGCCAAACCCUUUGAAGUAAGAACCGCCACCCGUCUUGAAGCGCGUACUAUCACGCCGUCUGAAAAGAGCGAUGUUACUCCAUCAAUCAACACUGCCACACCGUUUGAAGUAAGAUCUGCCAUACACCCUGAAGUCAACACUGCCAAACCCUUUGAAGUAAGAACCGCAACACCCCUUGAAGCGAGUACUGCCAAACCCUUUGAAGUAAGAACCGCAACACCCUUUGAAGCGAGUACUGCCAAACCCUUUGAAGUAAGAACCGCCUCACAUCCUGAAAUCAACAUUGCCACGUCCCUUGAAGUGAGUUCUGCCAAACCCAUGGAAGUAAGAACCGCCACUCCCCUUGGAACACAAACUAUCACGUCCUUUGAAGGAAGUACCUUCCCAAAUUCUGUACAGAGCACGGGCCUACCCUCAACGAUGAGCCCUUCCUCAGUGAUGACUCCGACAGCAGAUGCACAGGAUGUGGAAAUCAGACACUUUGAUGGCCUGAUUUUCGGUACGUCUGGCACUUUAGCCUCCAAUGCGUUACUUCACGAGCGACUUAGCAGCCAGUGGCAGUCUCUUGGACAACGUAUGCAGGAGAUAGCUAAUAAGGUCAACGGUGGAGGGACGGUCACACAACAAACCAGGUGAAAGAACUAUACUCUUUGCGGCUGUGCUUGACUUCACUGCGUGAGGGACACAACACGACACAACAAACAGUGGAGUGAAGGUAGACAACAAGUACAUCUGUUCACGGUGACAACAUACAAGCGACAAGGAUCAUCUACGUGUCUGGUUGAUGUAUAUUCGUCCUGUCAAGGAACCCAAGGGAAACUCGACCUUGACCAUCCUAUUUCGGACAUGAGAUUAUACGUUUUGCUGAAUACCUUCGCACUGACGGGGACUAGCAUAACAGUUCAGAGGAUCAGCUGUCAUCCCUUACACGCCAUGAUGGUGGUCUGUUCUGGAAUUCCAUUGUCAUUUAAGUGCCAUCUUGGUAGUUUUCCAUUGAUAGCUAUUUGUUAUUAUGUGGUGUGACAUAAUGCUCAUCCAGUGAUUGAGGUAUAACAACAUGUAGUUCUGUUGAGUAAGCAGUUUAAACAUUGUUACAAUGCAUCAGCUACAGAACGUAUUGCGGUCUUAGACAGACAAAAAUAUAGCCCAGCUAUGUCGGAGUCAGAAAUAACCUACUUAUAUUACGCCAGCUGGUAAAUAAUCGAUCUUAUAAUGUAUUGAUAUUAGUUGGGGAUACGUUGAAUCUUUUUUAAACGUGUCUGCAGGUUAUUGCUUGAAAUGAAGGGACUGUCGCUCUCGACAGAAAUUGGAACCGUCUUGUACUACAAUUACUAUACGUACUUAUGUUUUAAUUUAACCUGAAUUAAGCUCUAUAACCAGUUUGGUCAGGUGACGAUAUGCUGUUUAUUCUCAGCAGUACGACCACAGUACCCUGUCAACACGAUGGCACCGGACCCGAUAGUAAAUAGUUCAUCUAGACAUCUUCCUCUACAGAAACACCGUUGGUGCGGCGAUAAGCAACAUUCAUUUUGUAUAGCCAUGAGUGAGUGAGUGAGUGAGUGAGUUCAUCGAGUGAUUGAGCGAGUGAGUGAGUGGGGUGGGUUUAGGGAAAGCCCGAAAGCUAUGCUACUUCGAUGAUACCAACGAGCACGGGCAUGCUGCUGACAAACCUAUUAACAGAUUACGGCCACGAUCAUACUUUCCUGGCGUGUCCAAGGUACGCAACUCUGUACAGCACAUUGCGGCGCCUAAUGAUACUGGGCCACCCUUGCCCCGAUGAAGCGGUUGAGGUAGUGGGGUCCCAUUCCGACUAGGAUCUCCUUUUUUGCGCCUUUUUUAAACUAUUAUUUUAGCUUUAGUAAUCGAUACAGACUUAUACUAUGAAUAUGCUUGGACAGUGGAAAUACUAUUGAUGUAUUAUUUAUACUGGUAUUUUGUGUGACAUUUGUAAGAUAGACUUUAUGUGUUUCUGAUUUGUGUGUUUCAGUGAGUACCGGAUACUUUAACAUGGCAUUAGUCCGCAGCAUAAACAGAUAUUCAUUUUACAGCAGUUAAUAAAAGGUCUCAUUAUUAACAUAAAGAUACUGUAUUAUGUAUUACGGCAAGCUGUUCUUGUGUGAUGUAUUGUUUAUGUUACAAAUGUAUGGUUGAUCGCAGAUAAAACAGUGGAUCGAUAUUAUAUUGGUGUUUUGGUUGCUGUUGUUGCAAUUUGUAAAUAUAGAUACUUAAACAGCUGGGCAAUGAUCGAUCUCUCACAGCGCUAAUAUCGCUUUGAUUAGCCAGUAGCCAACAGUUUAAAUAAAACUCAAUUAUGCAUA